rnacentral:tRNA from 1 species
GGGGGCGUGUUGUAAUUGGCAGCCUGUUCGUUUACCAAACAAGCGGAACGGGUUCGAACCCCGUCGUCUCCACCA